rnacentral:rRNA from 1 species
GGCCUAACACAUGCAAGUCGAGCGGAUGACGGGGGCUUGCUCCUUGAUUCAGCGGCGGACGGGUGAGUAAUGCCUAUGAAUCUGCCUGGUAGUGGGGGACAACGUUUCGAAAGGAACGCUAAUACCGCAUACGUCCUACGGGAGAAAGCAGGGGACCUUCGGGCCUUGCGCUAUCAGAUGAGCCUAGGUCGGAUUAGCUAGUUGGUGGGGUAAUGGCUCACCAAGGCGACGAUCCGUAACUGGUCUGAGAGGAUGAUCAGUCACACUGGAACUGAGACACGGUCCAGACUCCUACGGGAGGCAGCAGUGGGGAAUAUUGGACAAUGGGCGAAAGCCUGAUCCAGCCAUGCCGCGUGUGUGAAAAAGGUCUUCGGAUUGUAAAGCACUUUAAG